rnacentral:rRNA from 1 species
AGACCCGAAACCCGGUGAUCUAGCCAUGGGCAGGUUGAAGGUUGGGUAACACUAACUGGAGGACCGAACCGACUAAUGUUGAAAAAUUAGCGGAUGACCUGUGGCUGGGGGUGAAAGGCCAAUCAAACCGGGAGAUAGCUGGUUCUCCCCGAAAGCUAUUUAGGUAGCGCCUCGUGAAUUCAUCUCCGGGGGUAGAGCACUGUUUCGGCUAGGGGGCCAUCCCGGCUUACCAACCCGAUGCAAACUGCGAAUACCGGAGAAUGUUAUCACGGGAGACACACGGCGGGUGCUAACGUCCGUCGUGAAGAGGGAAACAACCCAGACCGCCAGCUAAGGUCCCAAAGUCAUGGUUAAGUGGGAAACGAUGUGGGAAGGCCCAGACAGCCAGGAUGUUGGCUUAGAAGCAGCCAUCAUUUAAAGAAAGCGUAAUAGCUCACUGGUCGAGUCGGCCUGCGCGGAAGAUGUAACGGGGCUAAACCAUGCACCGAAGCUGCGGCAGCGAACGUAUCACCCAAGACAACUUUACGGAGUUGACGAUUGACGGAGCGAAGCGACGUCAAAGCGUUCAUUAAAGUCGAGUUGGCUUAGGGAUACGUUCGUUG